rnacentral:rRNA from 1 species
CCCUUAGAUGUCCGGGGCCGCACGCGUGCUACACUGAGUGGAUCAGCGGGUCAGGUUGCGCGAAAGCGUUUCCUAAUCUUUAAAUCCGCUCGUGAUGGGGAUUGACGGUUGCAAUUUUCUGUCAUGAACGAGGAAUACCUUGUAAGCGCGGGUCAUCAUCCCGCGCUGAAUACGUCCCUGCCCUUUGUACACACCGCCCGUCGCUCCUACCGAUUGAGUGGUCCGGUGAGGCUUUGGGAUCUGAGCGGAAAGAGCGUUUCGCUGUUUCUGCUCGGAAAACUCAGUCGAACCUUAUCAUUUAGAGGAAGGAGAAGUCGUAACA